rnacentral:lncRNA from 12 species
UGCCAAUGGCACACCUCGUUUUUGUGCGUGGCUUUUAAAAAUGUCAAGUCUUAGUUUGUCCCCAUCGUGGUGAACUGAUACGUGGUUGAGGAACUAAUGAGCUUCACCAUAGAAUGUGUCGUGGGGGCAAAACAUUUCUGACAAAAACUUAGAGAAUGGGGCAGACCCUGAUGAUUCCAAUCCCUUCUCCGAAGGGGCCAAAAAUAGUCAGCAGCACAGGGUGGCAGGUGGACUGGAAAGAGUGUCACUGCGAAAGUAAGUGAUACAGCGGCGCAACAGUGAGGGCCUUGGAGAGGCUGCAUCAAUGAGUAGGAAGCUUCCCAGCUGUUAUUUUCAGAGUUACUGCUAUCCUCCUGCUUCUCCUGCGGGUAGAGUACGGGAUGUCACUAUUCGCUAUGCAUCGGGUUGGUUUUUCCUGUGAAUGUCUGCUCCAAAGUCUGUAUUAUUCUUCACCAAAGGGACAACUCCAUACCAGUAUGAAAACUCUGACAAAGAGGCCCAAGGCUCUGAGAGGGGGAAAGAAAAAGAGAAAUUUGACAAUAAACAAGACGGACCUAACUAGAAGGGAUCCGGCCCAACAGAGAACAGGGCCAGAAAAUCCAGAAGCCCGUGGGAAUUUUAUUAACACCAAUUCGGCAUUCCAAACUGCAUCACCAAAAAGACUCCUCUCUUACUUGUGACUGGUAUAUUUGACAGCAUUUGUUCUGGUUAAAAAUAAAUUUGUUUUAAAUUAAUAAGAUGGAACA